rnacentral:tRNA from 1 species
AAAAAUAGUAGGAAACAAAGCGUGGCUGCUAACUGGGCUUUAGGUGGUUUGACUCCAUUUUAUUUUU